AACCGAUUAAUUUUCGAUCGAGCCCCAAUUUCAUCCCAGGUAGGUGGGUGCUUGUAGGAUAAUCGAAGCUUUGCCAUACACUGUUUCUGCUUCUUUUCCUGACCAAUAUCAAAUUCCCAGAAUCCAAGAGUUGAGCUGCACAGAUAUCAUUUUCUUCCACCGAAACAUUUGUAGACCACACUGGAAGCUUUUGGUCAUCUUUUCCAUAGAGAACGAGGUUUCCAUAUUGAUUUAUAAAGAGAACUCCAGAGGAACCAAUGAUUGGAUCGUUCCUGUUUGCAACCCACACCACAGUUUGUUCUGGUAUUUUAUGGUACCAAAUUCCAAGAUAUCUAUUGCUAGAACUACCUG